UAUUUUUAUUGUUUCCCUCCGAGUGGGCUGGAAAGGCAGUUUUUUGGAGAAAAGCCCGAGUGUGAAAGGCCUGUGAUGGUCGGUCCCGCCGGUGUCUCAGGGAGGCGGACGGGAUGGCAGGCACCCAGGACGGAGGCCUCGGCCUGGGGCUGCUGUCUUGCCUGCCUCUCCCAGGCUGGGUAACGGGAACGACAAGGUAAGGAAGACUGAAAAAAAUUGGCAGAAUCAGGGCAGGAAUCCAGCAGUCCCGGCAGGGAGAGGGCACCAUGUAAAGCCCCUCUACCUGUCCCCCGAGUCGCACCUCCAAGGUAUGGCAGCUGUCGGGGAGCAGGACAUCGAGGAUCUCCUCCUUGGCGCAUACCUCCAGCCUGCGCUGUCCUCAGGGAGGAAGGGUUUGGCCGGGGGGCGAUUCCCGAUGCCGCAGCAUCCAUCCCUAGGGCUCGCUGCCGGCUGCAGAGGCGCUCCUCCUGGGGUGAGGAGCAGGUGGUUUCUCAGGCCCCCCUUCUAGGAUUCACUGCUCUGAGGAGGUGGCAGCCCUCCCCGAGCUCCAGUCUGAGGAUAAAUACUGCUAAAGGGUGUUUUCCUGCUUCUAAUUUGGCCGAUGCGGGGUUUCGCUCGCAUUUGCAUUCCCUCGGCUUUCCCUGCCAAGGCGGAGAGGCCGUAUAGAUGUUCCCUCUGACUGUGUCGGCUGCACAACGCCAGCUGCUGACGCUGACAUUUAAUAUCUGUAAGUGAGAAAAAAAGAGGCUUCCCUCAACCCUGAAGCGGCAACACUGGUGGCACGGGUAACGACACAGGCUCUCCCGUUUGGCGUGUGGGAAUGCAGUACUAUCAACGAGGGCUGUGAUGCAUCACAGAGUUGGCAACACCCGUCCCUAGAGACCUGGGAAGACUGUCCCUGCUGUCACCUGCAGCAGCGUUAUUAACACUUGACCCUCACUUUCAAGGUUUUAUUUGUAGUUUAUCAGAAAUAGAAACUUCUUUUUCAUGAGAAGAGGGACUUCAGCGCUGUAACUCUCCUAGGAUUUGUCUCUGGACAUGUGUCAUUUGUGCCAUAUUUUGUGCCAGCGCACCAACUAUGCAGUUCACUUCUAAGGAGGCUGCAUUACCUAAAGCCACUGCAACAAUAAACGUCACUUGCAAAUUAAGGUUGACUUUUUUUUUUCCUUAUGAAAGGUUUGAAAGGUAUGAAGGAUCCUUAUACUUGGGGUUGUUGAAAAAGUGUGUCAUAAUUUUAAUUAGAAACUAGUAUUUUGAAAGGCUUAGAAAUAAAUAGCAAAGAUCAGACUGAAAGCUGGUAUAUAAUUUAUAAAGCCAUUCUCGUUGUGUUGAAAAGUUCUUCAUGGGUGAGGAGAGGGGAAAUAAGUUCUCAAUACAUAUGUAUAAAGUCAUAUAAAGUCUUACAGUUCAUAAUUACAGAAUACACUACAAUUCCUAUAGUUUUCCAGAGUAAUUUGUACCUAGAGCUAGUUUCUGAAUAAAACAUCUGUAGUUCACUAUUUUAGCAGUGGUCAGUAUCUAUUACUUUAAAGCCCCUUUAUAGUCCUUCUAACAAAUUGUGGAACAGUAAAAGGAAGCUUACUGCCUUACUUCAGUAAACAGCUGAUGUGUUGAAGCAUGGUAUCUAAUUACCUUUAUUGUUAUUUUCAUUGAGCGUAGCACUCACAUAAAUACUGUGCUAUAUCCCACAAUUUUACUCAUGCAAAUAUUCUUAUUUCAAUCUCGUUGAUGAGUGUUGGCUUGGCUAAAGUGAGGAGGCUUUGGCCCAUUAUGAGCAAUCAUAAAAUUAUCCAGCCAUAGCAUUUAACUUGAUGACCUAUUACAGAAAUGAAUUCUAUAGUUAGGACAUGUGCUACAUAAAAGCAUUUUCUUAAAUUUGCUCUAAAUUUAUUGCUGCCUGAUUUUAUUAUUGUUUUCUCUUUCUAGGGUAAGAAGCCAAAAGAAGAGCUGAAUGACUUUUAGUGCUGACCUUCUUAAACUAAAGUGUCUCAGCCAAAAUGCCUUAACCAAUGUCUUUCAGAUGUUUUCAUCUUUCUGUUUAGUGGCCCUCGUCUUGCAGUCGCACCUGCAUGAGUCAAGCCUUUUAUGUAAAGCAUAUGGGACAGGCUUCUGCACAGACGCUGAAUGGCAAAAUUAUGGCCUAACUCAUGUUUUAUAAUUACUCGGGUGCAUAUAAUGCAUUAAAAAUUACUCUGUGGUUUUUUAAAAUUCUAAAUAUAUAUUUACUUAUAUGUCUCUAUUAGAUAACUCUCCAUUUAUUAUGUAGUAAAUGUAAAAGUAGAUACAUAGUAAAAUCCAGUAUUCAAAGAAAAAUCAAAAGAACGAGUUUAAACCUGAAGUACAAGCCUGAACCCAGAAGACUUUUUUACUUUCACCUUAGUUCUCCACACAUCCAUGGACAUGGACAGGUGCCAGCCUCAAGGAGCAAGUUUGGGCACGCAGCAAUUCCUGGACCAGCCUGCGAGCUCACAGGAGAAGGGGCUGCCCUCGUGUUUGGCAAUGGACAGCUCCCGGGCAGAAUGCUACUCAGCCUGAAUAACGAUGGCAGAAUUAGAUCCAGGCUCCAGUACUGGAAGCCAGACUCUGCAGAGGCUACAAGUGAUAGAUACGAGCAUACCCCUGGAUUUCCAAGAAACAUCACAGAUCUUCUACUAGGGUCUUUAAAAACCAUGCCAAAUGCUCAGUAAUGAUAAGUUGAAAUCCUGCUCUGAACUCAGGGAAAGGAAUUUGUCUUUUGAAAGAUACUCCUUCAGGCACUGGCCAUAAAAACAAAUCAUUCUGGGGGAAGGAUGGUGAAAACAAGUGGAAAACUAACAGUAAUUAACACUGGGAUCUAAUAAGCCCACUUGGAUAAAAAAACCAACAACAGGAAAGCUGAAAAACCUAUUAUUUAUUUCAAUUCAAAAAAGCUUAUUUUUGUUUUGAUAAGAAAUAAAUUUCUGAUUUUUACAAGGCA